rnacentral:rRNA from 1 species
CGUUGAACCCAGCUCGUUCCUCUCCUCGUCUUCUCUGCUAUCCCAAGAACAGAACCAGCCACCCACCUCUCUCUCUCUCCCCAAGAACAGAGCAUGGCCGCCGCCGCCUCGAUCUGCCCCGUCCGGGCAUCUCCGGCGACACGGUGGACACCUACAGAUUCUCCUCGUCUCCCUCUACCAUUUCCCCCUAUUUAUUUUAUCCGCCGCCGCCAAAAACGUCGCCACCACUCAAUCCUAGCGCCGCCUGAUUCAGGUCCGGUGGGCUUGCCACCGGCUGCAGCGGCAACGACGUCUCCAUGCCUACAUCCUUCCCCAGCGCAGCCACACGCACGAGGCGUGCAGCCACGGGCGUCGGGCGUGUGCGGCUUCACCGGCGCUGCUCGGUCGCAUGGCUCUGCUGUUAACGGUGUGGACUAGCCACAUCCUACUGCUACUACUGCAAGAUAAAUAGAUCAAGGUGAAUAGAUGCUCAUGGACUGAUUCAAACCGAGGUGAAGAUAGACAAGAAGUCAAGCAAGAAGGGCUAACACAACAAGGUACUUGAUUAGUACCUGAUGGCGCAUGCGACCCACAGGGCUUCACCGCAGUGAAGGACAGCAGUGUGGCAAAAGGUGAAAAGGCAAGUGGUGGUGGUACUCCAGUGUAUGUGUGUGUGUGAGGUGGAAUGGACCACAGUGAAAGGAAUGGCUCCUAUUUAUAGUGGGGUUAGUAGCUAUGUCGGUUUGGAGAGGCAUUACAUCUGGCAUGCAUGCGUGGUUAGGCUUGCAUGCAUGCCUCCACUUGUGUCUCUUGUAGGCUGUACUAGGGACAAGUGUAAUUUACUUGACUGGCCAUUAGUUGGCAUUUACUUUAUGUGGAAAAAAAAUGAGACCAAGAUCUGAUUAUAAAUUUGUAGAAUACAUGGAGGUUUGGAAAAUAUUUUGUUGUGCAUG